CUGUGAGGGUCACAUGCUACCUGCAAUUCAAAAUAUGCUAGGAAGGGAAAAAACCCUUUGUGUCUGUGGAAAAGCUGAAUAAGAAGAUGGAAAUUAUCAGCAGAGAGAGCUGUAAAUGAAAUAAUACGAAAUGACCUCUCCAGCACGAGCACCCACUCCUAGUUGCCACAUUGGAGCACUCAGUUCAGCGGGGGUAUGCUGACUUCAGCAGACAAAGACUUCUGAAUAAAUAAACUGAACGCACACCUGGUACCACUCAGGACCUCCAACUGACUGAAUGCCAGGAGCUGAACAUUAAUAUGUGCAAAGAUUGGCUCUCCAACAAGAAGGAAAGCAGGGAGGAAGGGAGAUCAGUGUGUCUCCUGGAGAAGUCAUCUCAUGACAACAGAAGGGAGGUGGCUGGGCUGAGCACGGGAGACCCACCGUGCAGGGGCCUUUCAUGGGAACGGCCCACACGCAGUUUGACCCCACGCCCAGCCCUUCUGGCACCCCUGGGGUUCAAUACUGGAAGUGCCUUAUUUAACUAGACUAUCAGGGUAUCAUAGAAUUGAGCAUUGAAUUUGCUACUGUAGGAGUAUUGGUAGGAGCAGAAACUGCAAACACAUUUCAUUGUGAGGUUUUACCCUUUGUAUGAAUGAAGAGAACACUGGCAGGCUGUGAGAGGACCCUAAUAUGAGUCUCCUACGUUUGGAACCUGGGCUGUCACGUACAAGCCUGCUGCCUUACGCAGUGCGUUUUAGAAUCUUCCAGUCUGUCAUCUCAGCUCUUUUGUAACACGCUUCCCUUGUCUGCGCGGUUGAAACCGUAGGCUUGUUCAUGGUCGCAUGCUCGCAUCUUUGUUUUUAAUCUGGCUUCGAACAUGGCACAACUAAGUUGAAUAGCACAUCAAUAGGUUACUGGACAAAAGCAGAAAAACCUGUUACAGGGUAGACUGCAUUUGCAUGUGUGUACAUAUCUGGGCAUCUAUUUAUGUAUAAAUAAUAACAGAGCCGACGUGUCCUCGCCCGGGAGGGCUUCCCUGUCAGCAAUAACCGGCAUCCGUUUUGGAACCUGCGUCUGGGGCUCCAGGCGCUGCUCUUGCUGGCGUCCAUCGCCGCAUCGGACGGCCGUGCGUUUUCUCAUCUCGCGCAGUUCGAGGAGGACCCUAGAAAGCCAGGAGCUGUGAUUCACAGUAGCUGUAGGUUACCAGACGGCAACAUUAGAAAGUGAUUGUAAAUAACGUGCAACAUAAGUGUAAUAUAUUUGUUCAGUUAUAAGAUGAUUGUUUCACAGAAGCCUUACCACUCUCUGCUUCAUCUAAGGAAACCAAAAACGCCGCUUUAAUGCUCAGCCCUGCGUCAUGUGUUUUUAGAUGAGUUACUGUUAACAGGUAGGUUCGUGUACGCUUUGCUGGGCACUUUGUACAAUUAAUUGCUUAUUACGUAUGAUUACUCGCAGCGAUCUAUUGUUCAUAUAACCAAAAAGCAUGGUUUAUUCAUUAAAACACAGUUGACCUGAACUCGUGCCUUAGGAAUUAAUGCCCCCUUAUGGAACCUGCCUGAAUUGCACCUGCGGGUGGAGGCUCCGGCUGUGAAGUCACUGAACAGAACGUCACUGAUGGAGAAAGGGCUCCUGCGGAAGGAACGGCCUGUACCGUGCGCUCCGGCACAGUCG
rnacentral:sRNA from 1 species